UCCUACGGGAGGCAGCAGUAAGGAAUUUUCCACAAUGAGCGAAAGCUUGAUGGAGCGACACAGCGUGCCGGAUGAAAUCCCUCGGGAUGUAAACUGCUGUUAUAAAGAAAGAAAAAAUCAAAUACAGAAAUGAUUUGAUCUUGACGGUACCUUAUUAGAAAGCGACGGCAAACUAUGUGCCAGCAGCCGCGGUAAUACAUAGGUCGCAAGCGUUAUCCGGAAUUAUUGGGCGUAAAGCGUCCGUAGGUUUUUUGUUAAGUUUAAGGUUAAAUACUGAAGCUCAACUUCAGCCCGCUUUAGAUACUGGCAAAAUAGAAUUAUGAAGAGGUUAGCGGAAUUCCUAGUGUAGCGGUGGAAUGCGUAGAUAUUAGGAAGAACACCAAUAGGCGAAGGCAGCUAACUGGUCAUACAUUGACACUAAGGGACGAAAGCGUGGGGAGCAAACAGGAUUAGAUACCCUGGUAGUCCACGCUGUAAACGAUGAUCAUUAGUUGGUGGUAUUAAAUCACUAACACAGCUAACGCGUUAAAUGAUCCACCUGAGUAGUAUGCUCGCAAGAGUGAAACUUAAAGGAAUUGACGGAACCCGCACAAGCGGUGGAGCAUGUGGUUUAAUUCGAAGAUACGCGUAGGAACCUUACCCACUCCUU
rnacentral:rRNA from 1 species